GUCGUCGACGUACGUCUACGAGAGUUAGUAGUCUACGUGGCUACGAGGACGAACGCUGGCGGCACGCUUAACACAUGCAAGUCGAACGGAGAAUUUGGAUUAUUCGGAAUUCUUAGUGGCGGACGGGUGAGUAACACGUGAGCAACCUACCUUAGAGAGAGGGAUAGCUUCUGGAAACGGAUGGUAAUACCUCAUAACAUAGUUAGAAGGCAUCUUUUGACUAUCAAAGAUUUAUCACUCUGAGAUGGGCUCGCGUCUGAUUAGAUAGUUGGUGAGGUAACGGCUCACCAAGUCGACGAUCAGUAGCCGGACUGAGAGGUUGAACGGCCACAUUGGGACUGAGACACGGCCCAGACUCCUACGGGAGGCAGCAGUGGGGAAUAUUGCACAAUGGGGGAAACCCUGAAUGCAGCGAUGCCGCGUGGAGGAAGAAGGUUUUCGGAUUGUAAACUCCUGUCUUAAAGGACGAUAAUGACGGUACUUUAGGAGGAAGCUCCGGCUAACUACGUGCCAGCAGCCGC
rnacentral:rRNA from 1 species